AUUGAACGCUGGCGGCAGGCCUAACACAUGCAAGUCGAGCGGAGCGGUGGACGGGUGAGUAAUGCCUAGGAAUCUGCCUGGUAGUGGGGGAUAACGUCCGGAAACGGGCGCUAAUACCGCAUACUAUCAGAUGAGCCUAGGUCGGAUUAGCUAGUUGGUGGAGUAAAGGCCUACCAAGGCGACGAUCCGUAACUGGUCUGAGAGGAGGAUCAGUCACACUGGAACGUGGACGCGGACCAGACUCCUACGGGAGGCAGCAGUGGGGAAGAUUGGACAAUGGGCGAAAGCCUGAUCCAGCCAUUCCGCGGGUAUGAAGAAGGUCUUCGGAUUGUAAAGCACUUUAAGUUGGGAGGCGUAACCAACAGAAGAAGCACCGGCUAACUUCGUGCCAGCCGCCGCGGUAAGUAC
rnacentral:rRNA from 1 species